GAUGAACGCUGGCGGCGUGCCUAAUACAUGCAAGUCGAGCGAACGGACGAGAAGCUUGCUUCUCUGAUGUUAGCGGCGGACGGGUGAGUAACACGUGGAUAACCUACCUAUAAGACUGGGAUAACUUCGGGAAACCGGAGCUAAUACCGGAUGAUAUUUUGCACCGCAUGGUUCAAAAGUGAAAGACGGUCUUGCUGUCACUUAUAGAUGGAUCCGCGCUGCAUUAGCUAGUUGGUAAGGUAACGGCUUACCAAGGCAACGAUGCAUAGCCGACCUGAGAGGGUGAUCGGGCACACGGGAACGGAGACACGGCCCAAACGCCUACGGGAGGCAGCAGUGGGGAAUCUUGCGCAAAGGGCGAAAGCCUGACGGAGCAACGCCGCGUGAGUGAUGAAGGUCUUCGGAUCGUAAAACUCUGUUAUUAGGGAAGAACAUAUGUGUAAGUAACUGUGCACAUCUUGACGGUACCUAAUCAGAAAGCCACGGCUAACUACGUG
rnacentral:rRNA from 1 species